rnacentral:rRNA from 1 species
UACGAAGGGGGCGAGCGUUGUUCGGAUUUACUGGGCGUAAAGGGCGCGUAGGCGGCCCGUUUUGUCAGGCGUGAAAGCCCUGGGCUCAACCUGGGAACUGCGCUUGGGACGGAUGGGCUUGAGAUCGGGAGAGGAGAGUGGAAUUCCCGGUGUAGCGGUGAAAUGCGUAGAGAUCGGGAGGAACACCAGAGGCGAAGGCGGCGACCUGGACAGUAACUGACACUCAACUACGAAAGCGUGGGUAGCAAACAGG